CCCAGAGACAGCACAACACAUACUACUCAUCAGCACCAUCAUCUACACCAUUUACAAGCAUAUCAGUUGUGUGUGUUCGAUUUUCUUCGAGGGCUCCUCCAAGCAGAAGAACCAUAGUACAAAAAAGGUUUAGAAACACUGCUUUAGAACGUAAUGUAUUAAAAGGUUUCAGAAACACUGCUUUAGAACGUACUGUAUUAAAAGGUUUCAGAAACACUGCUUUAGAACGUACUGUAUUAAAAGGUUUCAGAAACACUGCUUUAGAACGUAAUGUAUUAAAAGGUUUAGAAACACUGCUUUAGAACGUAAUGUAUUAAAAGGUUUAGAAACACUGCUUUAGAACGUACUGUAUUAAAAGGUUUAGAAACACUGCUUUAGAACGUAAUGUAUUAAAAGGUUUAGAAACACUGCUUUAGAACGUAAUGUAUUAAAAGGUUUAGAAACACUGCUUUAGAACGUACUGUAUUAAAAGGUUUAGAAACACUGCUUUAGAACGUAAUGUAUUAAAAGGUUUAGAAACACUGCUUUAGAACGUACUGUAUUAAAAGGUUUAGAAACACUGCUUUAGAACGUACUGUAUUAAAAGGUUUAGAAACACUGCUUUAGAACGUACUGUAUUAAAAGGUUUAGAAACACUGCUUUAGAACGUACUGUAUUAAAAGGUUUAGAAACACUGCUUUAGAACGUACUGUAUUAAAAGGUUUAGAAACACUGCUUUAGAACGUACUGUAUUAAAAGGUUUAGAAACACUGCUUUAGAACGUACUGUAUUAAAAGGUUUAGAAACACUGCUUUAGAACGUAAUGUAUUAAAAGGUUUAGAAACAACCCGGUACAGCUUCAGUAGCACCACUGUGUCGUUCCUGGCAAUAGGCAAUGUCUUGGUUUAGUAUCCCACAUACGCUGUGUUAAGGUUAACGUCCCACAACAAGCUCUCUGCCUGUGUGACAUUUUUUAUUGAGUU